ensembl:snoRNA
AAAUUUGGGUCAAAGUCAGAUUUUAAAAAUUGUAUCAUUCAACUGCAUAGAGAGCAACCUAGAGAGACUUUGACAGCUUGGGUCAACCUAGUACCUGCAGCUGCCACUCACUUUUCUUUUUUCA